rnacentral:rRNA from 1 species
GACGAACGCUGGCGGCGUGCUUAACACAUGCAAGUCGAACGGAAAGGCCCUGCUUGCAGGGUACUCGAGUGGCGAACGGGUGAGUAACACGUGGGUGAUCUGCCCUGCACUUCGGGAUAAGCUUGGGAAACUGGGUCUAAUACCGGAUAGGAACCAUCUUUAGUGUGGUGGUUGGAAAGUUUUUUCGGUGUAGGAUGAGCUCGCGGCCUAUCAGCUUGUUGGUGGGGUAAUGGCCUACCAGGGCGGCGACGGGUAGCCGGCCUGAGAGGGUGUACGGCCACAUUGGGACUGAGAUACGGCCCAGACUCCUACGGGAGGCAGCAGUGGGGAAUAUUGCACAAUGGGCGCAAGCCUGAUGCAGCGACGCCGCGUGGGGGAUGAAGGCCUUCGGGUUGUAAACUCCUUUCGCUAGGGACGAAGCUUUGUUGUGACGGUACCUAGAUAAGAAGCACCGGCUAACUACGUG